AUCUAAUUCUAGAAAGAAAAGAUAAAGCUUUACACACUGCUUGGAAACUCGAGAUUAAGCUGGACACUCAUAAAUUGAUACUUAUAUAUGUAAGAAGAUUAGGCCGAUCAAAAUCUAAGAACAACAGCAGAGCCGCCCGCAGAAUUUACACUUCGUUGUCAAUUCAUAUAUUUGGGGCUGUACCUUCAGAGGCAAAAGGAUUUUAAAAACAUUGAGUAGAAGACUGAAUAUCUUAAGAAGCUGUAAUCUGGAAAAGAGAAAUACUUUAAAUUGCUAGCAUUUCAUUGCAUUCGUUGAUCCUUUACCGAGAGCCGCCACAAAUAUGCAUUCAGAAAAUAAUGAUGCUGGAGCAAUAGAUAUGGUCGGACAAACACAAAUGGAAUUCGACACACCAGCUCUUUACUCAAGUGAGACGCAGAAUACCCGUACACUUGAAGAGAUACAACGGAGUUGGCUGCUAAACCCAAAAUCAUGAGUGUCUAGGAGCAGGCACAUUGAUUUGGGGUGCAUGAUAUGUAGCCGAAGAGCAUUCAAGUGGAUGAUGUGGUUGUUGAUAGUUGCAGUUUUUGUCAUCGUCGCACCAACCAUCAUGACGAGGAGUUUGCCACAUCAUCACCCCAAGUCACGCAUUCCAGAUAACUAUACAACUGCUCUACAUAAAGUGCUUUUUUCUUUAAUGAACAAAAGUGAAUUAUUUAUUUAUAUAUUGUUUAUGUUGCUUCACAUAAGCUGCAAUCUGUAUUUACAAAUUUGUAAAUUUUGCAUUUGGGACUCCCCAAGAACAAUUAUGGGAUAAGAUGGAGAAGAGAUUCAGGGAUACAAGAUGGAAAUGUAAUGGAUGGAGGACUUGUUGGAGGAUACCACGAUACUGGUGACGAUGCAAAGUAUUAUUUCCCGGUGUCAUUUAUGAUGAUAAUGCUAAGUUAGAGUGUCAUAGAGUAUGAAGGCAAUUUCAAGACGGUGGAAGAGUAUGACCACAUCAGAGAGCUCGUCAAAUAUGAAUCAGUUUAUGAUUUUUAGGAUUUGAUAUUUUUUUUCUACUUA